rnacentral:rRNA from 1 species
UCAAGUUAUUAAGGGUGCAGGGCGGAUGCCUUGGCACUAGGAGCCGAUGAAGGACGUGAUAAGCUGCGAUAAGCUUCGGGGAGUUGCACGUAAACUUUGAUCCGAAGAUUUCCGAAUGAGGAAACUCACUUAGAGUAAUGUCUAAGUAUCAUUAAGUGAAUACAUAGCUUAAUGAGGGGAACUCAGGGAACUGAAACAUCUAAGUACCUGAAGGAAGAGAAAGAAAUUCGAUUCCGUAAGUAGCGGCGAGCGAACGCGGAUUAGCCCAAACCAAUAAAGUUUUCUUUAUUGGGGUUGCGGACAUAUCAUAACGAAGAGGUAUCGUAAUUGAAGAGGUUUGGAAAGACCCACCACAGAAGGUAAUAGUCCUGUAUGUUAAACGAGAAGACUUCAGAUAUGAUCCAGAGUACCACGGGACACGUGAAACCCUGUGGGAAGCAGGAGGGACCACCCUCCAAGGCUAAAUACUACCUAGUGACCGAUAGCGUAUAGUACCGUGAGGGAAAGGUGAAAAGAACCCCGGGAGGGGAGUGAAAUAGAACCUGAAACCCUGCACUUACAAGCUGUGGAAGCACAUUUCUUGUGUGACCGCGUACUUUUUGUAGAACGGGCCAACGAGUUACGUUAAGUAGCAAGGUUAAGCACUUAAGGUGCGGAGCCGUAGCGAAAGCGAGUUUUAACUGAGCGUUCAGUUACUUGACGUAGACCCGAAACCGGGCGACCUACCCAUGAGCAGGAUGAAGCGAAAGUAAAAUUUCGUGGAGGUCCGAACCCACGAGCGUUGAAAAGCUCGGGGAUGACUUGUGGGUAGCGGUGAAAUUCCAAUCGAGCCCGGAGAUAGCUGGUUCUCCCCGAAAUAGCUUUAGGGCUAGCCUCAAGGUGAGAGAUACGGAGGUAGAGCACUGAAUGUCCUAGGGGGUAUUGCACCUACCGAAGACUAUCAAACUCCGAAUGCCGUCAUCUUAUACUUGGGAGUCAGACUGUGGGUGAUAAGAUUCAUAGUCGAAAGGGCAACAGCCCAGAUCGUCAGCUAAGGUCCCUAAAUGUAAGUUAAGUGGUAAAGGAUGUGGGAUUGCACAGACAACCAGGAUGUUGGCUUAGAAGCAGCCACUCAUUCAAAGAGUGCGUAAUAGCUCACUGGUCGAGUGAUCCUGCGCCGAAGAUUUCCGGGGCUAAAACUUACUACCGAAGCUACGGCAUCAGUAAUGAUGGGUAGGGGAGCUUCCCAUACGGGUUGAAGCAUGACCGUAAGGACAUGUGGACAGUAUGGGAGUGAGAAUGUUGGCAUGAGUAGCGAGAUGUGGGUGAGAAUCCCACAGGCCGUAAACCCAAGGUUUCCAGGGGAAGGUUCGUCCGCCCUGGGUUAGUCGGGACCUAAGCUGAGGCCGAAAGGCGUAGGUGAUGGACAACAGGUUGAUAUUCCUGUACUACCGAUAACCGUUUGAGAGAAGGGAUGACACAGUAGGAUAAGCUAAGCACACUGUUGGUUAUGUGUGCCCAAGCAUUGAGGCAGUCAAAGUAGGCAAAUCCGCUUUGAUAAUGCUGGGAUGUGAUGGGGAGCGAAAUUUAGUAGCGAAGUAGCUGAUUUCACACUGUCAAGAAAAGUCUCUAUCGAGGUUAAAGGUACCCGUACCGCAAACCGACACAGGUGGGUGAGGAGAGUAUCCUAAGGCCAGCGAGAGAACUGUUGUUAAGGAACUCGGCAAAAUGACCCCGUAACUUAGGGAUAAGGGGUGCCACCAUCAGGUGGCCGCAGAGAAUAGGCCCAAGCGACUGUUUACCAAAAACAUAGGUUUCUGCUAAGUCGCAAGACGAUGUAUAGGAGCUGACGCCUGCCCGGUGCUGGAAGGUUAAGGGGAUCUGUUAGAGCAAUCGAAGCAGUGAACUUAAGCCCCAGUAAACGGCGGCCGUAACUAUAACGGUCCUAAGGUAGCGAAAUUCCUUGUCGGGUAAGUUCCGACCCGCACGAAAGGCGUAACGAUUUGGGCACUGUCUCAACAACAGACUCGGUGAAAUUGUAAUUCCGGUGAAGAUGCCGGAUACCUGCGACAGGACGGAAAGACCCCAUGGAGCUUUACUGUAGCUUGACAUUGGGUCUUGGUACUACAUGUACAGGAUAGGUGGGAGGCUUUGAAACCAGGACGCCAGUUUUGGCGGAGCCAUCCUUGGGAUACCACCCUUGUAGUACUGGGACUCUAACCAUAGGCCAUGAAUCUGGUCUUGGGACACUGUCAGGUGGGCAGUUUGACUGGGGCGGUCGCCUCCCAAAAGGUAACGGAGGCGCUCAAAGGUUCUCUCAGUACGGUCGGAAAUCGUACGUAGAGUGUAAAGGCAAAAGAGAGCUUGAUUGCAAGACAUACAGGUCGAGCAAGGAUGAAAAUCGGACUUAGUGAUCCGGUGGUUCUGCGUGGAAGGGCCAUCGCUCAACGGAUAAAAGCUACCCUGGGGAUAACAGGCUUAUCUCCCCCAAGAGUCCACAUCGACGGGGAGGUUUGGCACCUCGAUGUCGGCUCAUCACAUCCUGGGGCUGUAGUAGGUCCCAAGGGUUGGGCUGUUCGCCCAUUAAAGUGGUACGCGAGCUGGGUUCAGAACGUCGUGAGACAGUUCGGUCCCUAUCCGUCGCAGGCGUAGGAAAUUUGAGAAGACCUGUCCUUAGUACGAGAGGACCGGGAUGGACGUACCUCUGGUGUACCAGUUGUUCUGCCAAGGGCAUGGCUGGGUAGCUAUGUACGGAAUGGAUAAGCGCUGAAAGCAUCUAAGCGCGAAGCCAACUUCAAGAUAAGAUUUCCCACCGCAAGGGUAAGACCCCAGAAAGACUAUCUGGUUGAUAGGUCGAAGGUGUAAGUGCAGCAAUGUAUUUAGCUUAUCGAUACUAAUAGGUC